rnacentral:rRNA from 1 species
AUUGAACGCUGGCGGCAUGCCUUACACAUGCAAGUCGAACGGUAACAGGUCUUCGGAUGCUGACGAGUGGCGAACGGGUGAGUAAUACAUCGGAACGUGCCUAGUAGUGGGGGAUAACUACUCGAAAGAGUGGCUAAUACCGCAUGAGAUCUACGGAUGAAAGCAGGGGAUCGCAAGACCUUGUGCUACUAGAGCGGCCGAUGGCAGAUUAGGUAGUUGGUGGGAUAAAAGCUUACCAAGCCGACGAUCUGUAGCUGGUCUGAGCGGACGAUCAGCCACACUGGGACUGAGACACGGCCAGACUCCUACGGGAGGCAGCAGUGGGGAAUUUUGGACAAUGGGCGAAAGCCUGAUCCAGCAAUGCCGCGUGCAGGAUGAAGGCCUUCGGGUUGUAAACUGCUUUUGUACGGAACGAAAAGCCCUGGGUUAAUACCCUGGGGUCAUGACGGUACCGUAAGAAUAAGCACCGGCUAACUACGUGCCAGCCGCCGCAGUAA